CCUGCCGCUAACUCUGCGCGCCAGCGAGCUCGCUACGGCCCCCACCCGUUCCGAGCGCAGCGCUGAGCAGGCUCGCCGCCUAUUUUGAGAACAAAGGAUGGCAAAAUAUAGAAUCCCGGAGAGAGAGUGCGGGGGACGCCGAGACCCUCUCGCCUUGCACGCGCACACACACACACACACACACACACACACGCAGUGCACAACACACCUGGGUCUGUCUACCUCGGGCAGACGCUCCUUGAAUUCAGGCUCUUUCAGGGACUUGCUGGGGUGUGUGACCAGAUCCCCGGGGCAAAAGAUAGGCCCAGGUCACGGCCUCCGGCUCUGCUGGGUUUGAAGGACGACCUCCCUACCGCCGCCCAGCCAUCCGUCCCGCGGGCAGGAAGACCUGGAACCACAUGCCCAUCCCCACCCACAUCUACAGACCCAAGCGGGAGGAGCUCCUUUCUCGGACAGCAGGCGCACCCCUGCGCUAUCCCCACCCCCCACGCCCACGGCGGCUCCCGGACCCCGCCAGAGGAGAAACCCUGCAGGGAUCCAGCUUGCCGCCAAACCACAGUUUGGCCACCCGGUACUCUCUGGCAUCCGGAGAGAACUGAUCUCAACGGAAGAACUGGUCGGGUUUGCCGUCACAGAUUCCACAGUCGUUUAUGCUGGGGAGCGAACGACUUUUCUGAGCGUCACCUCACUCCCGCUCUUGGCGAGGCCCGAGACACACAGAAACGUGAUAAACACACAACAAGUGUGCUGACCUUGGUGCACAAACCCAGAUGUACCUAUCAAACAGGAGCCAGAUCGAAGAGCAAGCUUUGGAGAAGACAGGUGGGGCCUUACCACGUGUGAGCUUUGUGUCUGCCUCUGCCUAGGCCUUUCCUUCUCCGAGCUGCGGUGGAAAAGCUGGUCGUAAAGCUCACUCCAGAGUUUGCUGUGAAGAUGACAAGAGAUGACCCGGAGAAUGUGCUGGAGAAAUGACGGGCGCUCUGUUCCUGGUCCUGACCCUCCUGCGGGUAGUGUUUUUUCAGCAGGGAGUGAACCCAUGCUCCCCAAUAUAUAUACUUCCUGGCCACGUCUUUGGGGGAAAACUGGUCAAAGGACAGUGGGGAAACAGUGCCAUGAAGUGCCCCAGCCCCCCAAAGUCUGGCCUCUUUGGUCUUUUCCUCCAUGUUAUCAGCCCAGGGACCAAAGUUGAAAAGUAGGUUUCUAAUGCCUUCAGGGGCUUCCCAGGUGGCACUCGUGGUAAAGAAUAGACAUGAGUUCCAUUGCCUGGAGGAGGGCAGGGCAAUUCCAGUAUUCUUGCCUGGAGAAUCCACAAGGACAGAGGAGCCUGGCGGGCUACAGUCCAUAAGGUCACAAAGAGCCAGACAUGACUGAAGCGACUUAGCAUGCAUACAGUGCCUUCAGAUUCAAGUUCAGUGGCGUGGUGGUGGCUGGGGGUGGGGCAAUAUGGUAUGGCUCUGAUUCCCUUUCUUGAGGCUUAAUUUCCAGCAGACCAUGCACCAAGGCUACAUGGUCUGGCAUGCCCUCCACCGCUGCCUUCUCACCCACAGCUCCUGUCCCACGGGCUAGGGUCAUCAUCUGCCUGUUUGGUUCCCCACUGACCAUGGCAAGGCCAUGUGGCACAGCACCUCCUGGUACAGUGCCUGGCACAGCAGCUGACAUUGAUUACUGGUAACCCAAUGAUUGACAGUCCUUCUUUGGGGAAUCUCCUGCUCCAGCCUAUUUCCAUCUCUCUUUCCACAUCAAAGUCCACCCAGUCCCCAAGAAAGUGAAGUUGCUCAUUCAUGUCCAACUCUUUGCGACCCCAUGGACUGUAGCCUGCCAGGCUCCUCCAUCCAUGGAAUUUUCCAGACAAGAGUACUAGAGUGGGUUCCAUUUCCUUCUCCAGGGGAUCUUCCCAACUCGGGAUCGAACCCAGGUCUUCCACAUUGCAAGCAGACACUUUACCAUCUGAGCUGCUAAGGAAGCCCCCAGUCCCCAAGACCAAGGUCAAAUGCUGACUCUUCCACGCAGGCCUCUCUGUCCCCAGGGAUAUGCAUUCAUCUCUCCCUAGUCCCUGGAUCAGUUGGAAAAGACUCUCAUGGCUUCGACCAUGUUCUGCCCUGAAUUACCAUUCUCUCUGUAAAUUCUACACCUCCCUGCUUGGUUGUCACUUCUCAGAGUCAGAAUUGGGUCUUGCCCAUCUCUACGUGGCUUACAUUGCCCAGCUGUGCCCACCCCGGGCACACAGUAGAUGCUCAGGAGAUGUUUGUUGAACUCAACUCUGCAGGUCUGUUCACCAUUUCUUAGCUGAGGGCCUGACUUGAGGUGGACACUGAUGCUGAUGGUGGUAUCUCUGCAGAUCUGGGCUGAGAGAAACCUCAGCAAUCUUGUCUGGAGAUGCCCCACUCCACCCAGACCUGAGGAGGCAGGCCCUGACAGAGUGCCUGUCCUGCUUUUCUUCCACCCUGGGAGGAAGUUCAGAAUCUGUCUGGCAACCUGGGAGUAUGAGGGGGAGGUGAUGGAAGGAAGAAAAACCCACUUGGGUCAGAGUCACCAUCUACCCAAUCAGCUGUUUGAAACAAAAGCCAGGGUCUUGCAGUGAUGGGACAGACCCUGGCCUCAUCUGGACUCACAGCAGCAUUUGCUGCUCAGAGAACCAUGAUGAGCUGGUGACUGUGGGUGAAGAAGGUGCCCUGCCGCAGCCAGCCCCUCCACAUACACCUACAGGCCUGUCACUGGCUCUGUUUGUGGUCCUUCUUGGCUGCAGUUCUUCCCCAGACUCUCAACUCUGCAACCUAGUCAGCACAUCUGGGGUCUUCUCAUGGAACACUCUGGUCCUCCCAGGUGGGGUGCGGAGGAGUACUCUGUGCAGGGAGGGGCCACGACACCCCCACUUGGCCUCCUAGAUGCAACUCUCCUUGAAUGUGUCUCCACAGCCAUCACAGGGGCCAUCUGAUGACAGUUUCACUCAGGUUGCCUCAGGUAACCAACUGUGUUGUGAGGAGAUGCCUGGGAGUAAGGCGGUUGGGAUGUCCUGUGUGUGUUCAUUCCUGAUGGGCCCUGGCACACAGGGGAGCCUGGAGGGCUGUUUGGCUCCGGGGUCUCUCUGACUGCCUGGGCUGUCUUGUAGCCCCAAGGCAGCAGGAACUCCAAGAUUCCAGGUUGGAGUGCUGCCUCCAAGGCUGCUCAGCAGCUCACUUAUCCCUGCUUCCUGGCCCGCUGUCUGCAGCUCUAGUUCAAAUUAUUAAGAAGCAAAGAACUUGAAUGACUCAGGUUAGCCUGGGUCCCUGGUCAGCGAGAGUGUCUGCCCCAGGUCAUCUCUGGGUGCUUGGGAUGUCCAGAGAUCUACAACCUUUGUCUUCUAGGACCCUGAACUCAGGCCACUCCACUAGAUUGGAGUAGGAUCCAGUGGGGCUGCCCUUGGCAGAGAGGUAGGAAUGGGGAGUCUCUUGGAAAGGUUCCUUUGAUGUGUUGGGCACUUUGACUGGCCUGUCCAAUACCGUCAUGUUCUGGAAUAGACCUUGACUUCUCCCUCCAUCCCAAGCCUGAGUGAAUCGGGAAACUCAUCACGUGGACAGCAGGUUUCAUUGCUGAGCUGAUGUUCACACCAGGCCCCUCGUAGGGCCCAAAGGAACAGUGGCUGACCUCACCGUGUGCAGCUGAUGGCCGUGGGACCGGAACGGCCAAAGGUGUAGGGAACAGCCUGCCAGUCUCCCCAGAGGCUGCUCUCUGUGCCACUCAGCCCCUAUUUAGUCUGCAAGAACAGGUUUGGUCAGAGAAGACCUGGGACUCCUGUGGAACACAGAUCUGCCAGGAGAAGAGGCAUCUAGCCCCGCCACUCUCACCAGAGGCUUCAUCCUGAGCCCACAGAAGGCCUCUCAUCUGAUGCCUUCUUAGCCUCUCUUGCCUGGCAGUCUCCUGCAGCAAGCAAGGAUGCCACAUCCUUCUAAGUUCUUCCCAACAAGGCAGAAUCCCAGGGAUGGGGAUGCCUGGUGAGCUGCCGUCUGUGGGGUCGCACAGAGUUGGACACGACUGAAGCUACUUAGCAGCAGCAGCAGCAGCACUCCGGCUGGAGAAAGCUGGCUAGCUCCACAAAGGGAGGUGACUCUUGGACUAAACCUCAAAAGGAUAUUUUCAUGGUAAAGAAUUUCUGGAGGACUUCGCUGGUGGUCCACUGGCUAAGACUCUGUCCCAGUGCAGGGGAUCCAGGUUUGAUCCCUGAUGAGGGAACUAGCUCUCGCAUACCACAACUAAAGCUCUCACACGCUGCAACCAAGACCUGGCACAGCCAAAAUAAAUAAAAAGUUGUUUGUUUGUUUUUCUUAAUUUCUGGGGCUUCAAGAAGAGGCAGCCUAGAUGCUGCAACAAGACUUGUGGCCACAGUCAUAAUUAUCUUGCUCAAAAAGGUUCUUAUUGCACAGCUGAGGUUGCAAGAAGCAAGGGAACCCUUUAGGGGACCAAAUAGGCUGAAACCAAAGUGCGAAAUUAUAAGCACACAGGAAAGAUGGGAUGGCCUUGAGUGCCAAUGUCCACGUAUCUUGUGCAACAAGAUAAGCUUCGUAAGACUAAACUUUCAGCCACUAACA
ensembl:lncRNA